GUGUUACAAUGGCAGGUACAGAGGGGUGCUACCGGGUGACCGGAUGCCGAUCUCGAAAACCUGUCCCAGUUCGGACCGGAGUCUGCAACCCGACUCCACGAAGUUGGAUUCGCUAGUAAUCGCGCAUCAGCCAUGGCGCGGUGAAUACGUUCCCGGGCCUUGUACACACCGCCCGUCAAGCCAUGGGAGCCGGGGGCGCCUGAAGUCCGGGACCGCGAGGACCGGCCUAAGGCGAAACUGGUGACUGGGGCUAAGUCGUAACAAGGUAAC
rnacentral:rRNA from 1 species